rnacentral:rRNA from 1 species
GACGAACGCUGGCGGCGUGCUUAACACAUGCAAGUCGAGCGGUAAGGCUCCUUCGGGAGUACACGAGCGGCGAACGGGUGAGUAACACGUGAGCAAUCUGCCCUUCACAUCGGAAUAACUUCGGGAAACCGAAGCUAAUACCGAAUACGACCAUCGGAGGCAUCUCCUGAUGGUGGAAAGCUCCGGCGGUGGAGGAUGAGCUCGCGGCCUAUCAGCUUGUUGGUGGGGAACGGCCCACCAAGGCGACGACGGGUAGCCGGCCUGAGAGGGGUGACCGGCCACACUGGGACUGAGACACGGCCCAGACUCCUACGGGAGGCAGCAGUGGGGAAUAUUGGACAAUGGGCGAAAGCCUGAUCCAGCAACGCCGCGUGAGGGAUGACGGCCUGGUUGUAAC